rnacentral:rRNA from 1 species
UACGUAGGGUGCGAGCGUUAAUCGGAAUUACUGGGCGUAAAGCGUGCGCAGGCGGUUCGUCGUGUCCGAUGUGAAAGCCCCGGGCUCAACCUGGGAAUGGCAUUGGAAACUGGCGGACUCGAGUGUGGCAGAGGGGGGUGGAAUUCCGCGUGUAGCAGUGAAAUGCGUAGAGAUGCGGAGGAACACCGAUGGCGAAGGCAGCCCCCUGGGCUAACACUGAGGCACGAAAGCUGGGGGAGCAAACAGG